rnacentral:rRNA from 1 species
CCUACGGGAGGCAGCAGUGGGGGAUAUUGCACAAUGGGGGAAACCCUGAUGCAGCGACGCCGCGUGUGUGAAGACGGUCCUCUGGAUUGUAAACCACUGUCCCCAGGGACGAAGAUGACGGUACCUGGGGAGGAAGCUCCGGCUAACUACGUGCCAGCAGCCGCGGUAAUACGUAGGUAGAGAGCGUUGUCCGGACUUACGGGGGGAAAGGGGAGCGUAGGCGGAAUGCCAAGUCAGCGGUAAAAGCGCGGGGCUCAACCUCGCUCCGCCUUUGAAACUGGCGUUCUUGAGUGGGCGAGAAGUAUGCGGAAUGCGUGGUGUAGCGGUGAAAUGCAUAGAUAGCACGCAGAACUCCGAUUGCGAAGGCAGCAUACCGGCGCCCAACUGACGCUGAAGCACGAAAGCGUGGGUAUCGAACAGGAUUAGAUACCCGGGUAGUC